CACCAGCUUUGCCCAAUGGAGAACAAACAUGCUCUGUGCCUCAUCCAUGCUGUCAAGAAUUUCUUUUUCUCACACUCUGCAUCCUUGAGCAGUCCCUUCAUGAAACCACAGCAGAUGUUUCUCAGUCCUUUCAUUUUCUUUUUUCAGAGGAAUUGUAAUCGGCUGCGCUUUAAUUAGGAUCUCCCCGAGGAUACUUCGGCUUUCUUCCACACCCGGGAGUUUGCAGAUUCCCUCUUAGUGCACCAGGCUGAUUAGAUUUCUUAAUUCCCUAAAAUAUGCUGUCUCGAAGCCUAAUACCCCUGUAGGGAUGAGGUCUGUUUCUCUGCCUCUCCUCCCAUUACAGUGCUAAAUCCAGGCAGUGGUCUCCCUUACGGCACUUGCUUCUUCCCUGGCUCCGGACCCCUUUUUUGGAUGCCAAGAGCUGGGUGUUCCGGGCUGUUGAAGAAAAUGGAGUAAUGGGAUAGAAGCUGCUUUCAACUUCCUGCGGAGGACCCAAGGCCAGGAAAAAAGAAAAUUUUUGGAUAUCAGAAAUCAGAACAGGCCUGGAGUUGGGGAAUAAAUUAGGAAAGACACGGACUCAAGCAAAGGAAGACAUCAGAAGUAGAGGUUGGCCAAAGGACAAAACUACAAAGCAGCAAUUGCAGAUUGAAUCAAAUCAUCAGCUACUGGACAUUACAACAUUCACCAUGGAGAGUAACAAUAAUAUGCAUUUAUCAGAACUUCACUAUGUGCCAGGCACAACAUUUUAUGGAAGAUGAACAGGUAGAUAGACAAACAGAUAUGAGUACAUAGCUAGGUAAGUUGGUAGAUAGGUAGCAGGAUUCUCUGUCUCCCUAUUCCUUCUGGUAAGAAGAUAAAAGCUAAUGACUUCAAAAGCAUAACUGUGCAUUCAAUAUUCAUAGAAAGGGUCUGUGUGUGGUAGGAAAGAGACACUCACGCCAUUGCACUCCAGCCUGGGUGACAAGAGCAAAACUCCGUCUAAAAAAAAAUGAAAGGGAAUAGAACGAGCUGCAAUGUAAUACACUGCGAUACAACAUGAUGUGAUGGAAUUAUACAACAGGACAGACACUGUCAAGCAGAUAAUAGAACAUAGGUGACAACUCCUAACAUUCAUGGCAUGAAACAACCUUGACCUGGAUGGUGUUCUGCAUACUCAAAACGGGUAAAGAACAAGCCUGUGUCAACAAGAGACUGAAUAAGAAACCCUCAAGGAGGAGACGUGGGAGUUGCCUUCAUUCAUUGGAUAGAGUGCCGCAGGACAGGAUGCUCUGAGAGGCCAGCACCACACCCUCUUGACCAUGCUGUAGCCAUAAAUGUUCCAGAGGCAUCUGAGAAAACCACUGCAGAAUACACAGAGCACAGCUGCAUUUUGUCUGCUCCACCUACAACAGGGUUUGCUCUACCCUGCCAUAUCAGAGGCUCCUGAAAAGACCAACUCACAGCACCACAGGAUGUGAUUAAGCCUUGGAGAAGAUUAAUUACCCACUUUCUUAGGAGUCGGUCUCUCCUCCCCACUCACUCAAGUUCCUUUACCCCCCACUAAGCCUCUGAAAGAAUCUAACAUCAUAAACAAGGAUCUCAUUAGCAACUUGAAUUCGGGCUGCAGAUCUUUUGUGAAGAUUUGGUUACAGAUGCUGCUUUAACUUCUGAGGAUUAUUCUUCAGCAUCCAGAGAGACUCCAGUUGCUCCCCUGGGAAAUGUUCCCUCACUUGAAUAACUCAUCUGUUCACCCAUUGGCAUAACUGCUGCCAGUUCUAAGCACCUGCUGAGGAGUGGACCCAGAUUAGGCCUCUGGCAGGGCUACAAAGAAGGCAUUUCAGUGUUGGACUUCCCAUUCCAUUUGCAUCUUCAGGGGAAGUUAAUGUCCCACUCAAGUUUCUCUCAGUUAGGGUGACAGGGAGAUGCAGUUCUUCAAAUGCUGUCCUCAAGUAGAGAGGGAGACCACAGAGCUCCGACUGGCUUGCCAGCCCAUGGAGCCAUUUUUUCUUUGGUGGUGGAUGCUCUCGGUGUGGCCUCUAGAGCUCCUUUCAUGAUCCUUUUCUCUCUGCAUUCCCACUGCUCUCCCCUCGGGUGGGUCCACAUCACCUCUCGCCUGGACCUCAGUCUGUCUCUUCUCUGCUAACCAGGGUGUCUUCACUUCUCUGCAGCUUUCACACGGCAGCCAGAUUAAUGUUCCUCAGUGCAGCUUUGAUCACACCACUGUGCCCAAACAAAAUCUUUCAUGGCCCCCAGCUACCCAGUGAUCAAAGUCCAGGGUCCUCACUCCAGCAUUAAAGAGCCUCUGUAUUGUGGAUCCCAAAUCAUCACAUGCCCCACCUCCAUCACCCAUCUGUUCCACUCCCACCUACCUCAACCUCAGUUCUAGUCCUUCAAGCUGCAGGCAGCAGCUCAUUGAGAAGGUCAUGAAAUCAAUGAAGUAUGUGACGAAAGCAUUUUAAAAUGAAAUUUAUAGCAAAAGAACAAAUAUGUAUAUGGCUUUCUAUAUAGCAGGCUCCAUUCCAAAUACUUUGCAUAGACUCACAUACUUCUCACACUGUCCCUAGGGAAAUAAGCACUCUUGCUAUCCCUGUUUUACAGAUAAGGACACAGACCCAGGGAGGUUAAAUAAGUUGUCCAAAGUGAUUAAUUCUGGCUUGAACCCAGAGAGCCUUGUAUCAGAAGCCACACUCUGCUAUACUCCCCAUGAUGUACUAUAUGGAAUAAAACUAUAUUCUAGAUUUUGUAAAACCAUAUGGAACAGAAUAGAAAAUUUAGGGCAUUCUGUAUAUACAAUGGUAAAUGUUCCAUGAAGGUCUGUUGGAGAUAAAUAUAAAUGUAUACACACAAGACUACAGUAGAAAAUGUGUAUUGUGCUGAGUACACAAGGUCAAGUGUUUGUCUUACUGUGGCUUGUGGGCAAAAACAUGUGAAACCUGUUGUUCUGGCUAAAACCAAGGAACUGCCAAUGAUCUCUCAUGCUUCUUUGCCUCUACAUCUUCACCCACACUGAUCCCAGCACUGGAAACAUCUUUCCCCGUCGUUUCUCACCUGUAUCUCUGGUCCAAACAUGUCUUGUCCAUGGAGUCUUUCUUAAUUCUUCUCUUUAUUCUGUCUUCUAAAUUAUAAGCUUCUUGAGGGCUUAGGUACAUACAUUUCACAAUCAGUUCUUGCUUCCUGACAAAGAAGGAAGCAUCUUCCAGGAGGCUUUUACUCCCAACCUACUUUCAACCCCCAUUGGUGUGAUGAGAUUUCUGAUAUUCGUCUUCUUUCUGUGAUAGUUUGGGACAAUGGUUCUCAAAGUGUGGUCCCCAGACCAGCAACAUCAGCAUCGCCUGGGACUUGUUAGAGAUGCGUAUUCUCAGGCCCCAUCCCAGACCUACUGAAUCGGAUUAUCUGAGGGUGAACAACAGCAGCGUGUGCUACAACCAGCCUUCCAAGUGAUUCUGAUGCUUGUGCAAGUUCGAGAACCACUGGCUUAAGAAAAAGCCAUUCUUAUUCAAUAUGAGAGAAGGGUUUGUUUCAUGACUCUGGGCCAGUUGGCUGCAUUGUAUUGCUUAUGAGGACAAGGUCAGGGGAUCAACUUUGUGUAUCCAAGUCAGCAACAUGUCACACCACACAUUGAAUCCCCCAACCCUAGCUUUUGUGCAAUUGCAAGCUAUUUAGUCCCAAAAGAACUAUGGAUGUCUCAGUGCCAAAGCUAACUCACCUAAAUUACUACUGUCAUCGCAUUAAUGGAGCCAGACUCACAGCCACGAGCCAUCAAGCACCCUGCAGGGGACAGUAAAAGCAGAACCAGGAAUGGACAAAGACAUUGUUAGAAGUCAAGAGAACAUGGACUUUCUAAAUACCAAAGCAUUUUAGAAGGUAUGGCUAAAACAGAUUGCAAAUGAUGAAAGGCAGUAAAAAUCCAAGUGGGUUUAGGAUGGGAAAUUUCAAAUUUCAUAGGAAAUCCAAGGUCACAGAAAUAAUAAACCAGAAUGACCUAGGAGCUAGCACUUGAUAGAUUCAGGAGCAUUUCCAUGGACAGACAUUUUAUAUUUGAAGAAACUCGAAUCUAUAUUCCAAGAAGUUAAGAAACAAGAUCAUGCAAUGAGGAAAUAGCAGAAUAGAAUGCAAACCAACUUUUUUUACCCAGGAGUCUCAACUAAAGGUCUGCCUGCCCUGCCGAGGGCACUCCCCUCUCUGCGGUUUCUCUUCUACACUCCUGCCACACUGGCCCCAGUGCUGCCAUGUCCACUCCCAGGGCUCUGCACUUACUCUUCCUUCUCUUUUAAGUAUUUUUUCGCUAGCUGUUCCCAGAGCUGCACCCUCCUCAUCCUUUAGGCCUCAACCCAAAUGUUACUUACUCAGAGAGUUCUUCCCUGACCACCCAGCCCACACUUCUGUGACUGUACAAGUUUCCUGGGGCUGCUGAAACAAAUGACUGCAAAGUUGGUGACUUAAACCACCACAACAUAAGUUGGCUGGUUGUGGUGGCUCACGCCUGUAAUCCCAGCACUUUGGGAGGCCCAGGCGGGCGGAUCAUGAGGUCAGGAGAUUGAGACCAUCCUGGCCAACGUGAUGAAACCUCAUCUCAACUAAAAUACAAAAAAAUUAGCCGGGUAUGGUGGUGUGUGCCUAUAGUCCCAGCUGCUCAGGAGGCUGAGGCAGGAGAAUUGCUUGAACCCAGGAGGCAGAGAUUGAAGUGAGCCAAGAUCACACCACUGCAUUCCAGCCUGGACAACAGAACGAGACUCCAUCACAAAAACAAAACAAAACAAAACAAAACAAAAACAUAAGUUUUUUCACUUACAGUUCUGGAGGCCAAAAAUCCAAACUCAAGGUGUCGGCAGGGCCAUGUGUCUCUGAAGGCACUAGGAGAAAACCUGCCCCAUGCUCCUCUCCUAGUUUCUGGAGAGGAGCCACUCAUGACAUUUCUUGACUUGCGGCUGCAUGACUUCCAGUGGCACCGUCCUCUCUGUGUCUGUGUUAAAUAUCCUUCAUAAGAACACCAUUCAUCGGAUUAGGGCACACCUUAACACCAUAUGGCCUCAUCUUAACUUCAUUACAUCUGCAAAGACCUUAUUUCCAAGUAAAUCCACAUUCAUAUGCAUUGGGCAUUAGAACUUUGACACAUCCUUUUUGGGGGAGGUGGGGAACAACUCAACCCACACACAGCCACAGACAUUUCCUACAAUACCCUAUUCUAUCGUCUCCAUACUGCUUCUCAGUAUGUGACAUUAUCCUAUUUAUUUAUAAGUGUAUGUGCUCAUUGCCUGCCCAACCCUUCCCCAACUAGAAUAAAAGCUUCUUAUAGCCGUGCACCUCUCUGUCUUGUUCACAGAUGAAUCUCCAGCACGUAGAAGGGGGGCCUGGAACAAAGCACUGUUUUACAAAGAUUUACUAACUGCCUGAACUGUCUCUCCCACUGGGGUCUUUCAUUACAUGGUCCCACCUCACCAACCACA
rnacentral:lncRNA from 1 species